GGGUCAAUGAUGAGAACUCAUAUGGUCCUGAAGAGACAUUAUGACCUAACAAUCAUGCACAAUAGGAUUACACUGAGGCCC
ensembl:snoRNA SNORD115 Small nucleolar RNA SNORD115